CAAUUUAAACAACGAAGAGUUUGAUCCUGGCUCAGGAUGAACGCUAGCGACAGGCUUAACACAUGCAAGUCGAGGGGCAGCGGGGUGUAGCAAUACACCGCCGGCGACCGGCGCACGGGUGAGUAACGCGUAUGCAACUUGCCUAUCAGAGGGGGAUAACCCGGCGAAAGUCGGACUAAUACCGCAUGAAGCAGGGGUCCCGCAUGGGGAUAUUUGCUAAAGAUUCAUCGCUGAUAGAUAGGCAUGCGUUCCAUUAGGCAGUUGGCGGGGUAACGGCCCACCAAACCGACGAUGGAUAGGGGUUCUGAGAGGAAGGUCCCCCACAUUGGUACUGAGACACGGACCAAACUCCUACGGGAGGCAGCAGUGAGGAAUAUUGGUCAAUGGGCGUAAGCCUGAACCAGCCAAGUCGCGUGAGGGAUGAAGGUUCUAUGGAUCGUAAACCUCUUUUAUAAGGGAAUAAAGUGCGGGACGUGUCCCGUUUUGUAUGUACCUUAUGAAUAAGGAUCGGCUAACUCCGUGCCAGCAGCCGCGGUAAUACGGAGGAUUCGAGCGUUAUCCGGAUUUAUUGGGUUUAAAGGGUGCGUAGGCGGCCUUUUAAGUCAGCGGUGAAAGUCUGUGGCUCAACCAUAGAAUUGCCGUUGAAACUGGGGGGCUUGAGUAUGUUUGAGGCAGGCGGAAUGCGUGGUGUAGCGGUGAAAUGCUUAGAUAUCACGCAGAACCCCGAUUGCGAAGGCAGCCUGCCAAGCCAUGACUGACGCUGAUGCACGAAAGCGUGGGGAUCAAACAGGAUUAGAUACCCUGGUAGUCCACGCAGUAAACGAUGAUCACUAGCUGUUUGCGAUACAGUGUAAGCGGCACAGCGAAAGCGUUAAGUGAUCCACCUGGGGAGUACGCCGGCAACGGUGAAACUCAAAGGAAUUGACGGGGGCCCGCACAAGCGGAGGAACAUGUGGUUUAAUUCGAUGAUACGCGAGGAACCUUACCCGGGUUUGAACGCAUUCGGACCGAGGUGGAAACACCUUUUCUAGCAAUAGCCGUUUGCGAGGUGCUGCAUGGUUGUCGUCAGCUCGUGCCGUGAGGUGUCGGCUUAAGUGCCAUAACGAGCGCAACCCUUGCCACUAGUUACUAACAGGUGAUGCUGAGGACUCUGGUGGGACUGCCAGCGUAAGCUGCGAGGAAGGCGGGGAUGACGUCAAAUCAGCACGGCCCUUACAUCCGGGGCGACACACGUGUUACAAUGGCGUGGACAAAGGGAAGCCACCUGGCGACAGGGAGCGAAUCCCCAAACCACGUCUCAGUUCGGAUCGGAGUCUGCAACCCGACUCCGUGAAGCUGGAUUCGCUAGUAAUCGCGCAUCAGCCAUGGCGCGGUGAAUACGUUCCCGGGCCUUGUACACACCGCCCGUCAAGCCAUGGGAGCCGGGGGUACCUGAAGUCCGUAACCGCGAGGAUCGGCCUAGGGUAAAACUGGUGACUGGGGCUAAGUCGUAACAAGGUAGCCGUACCGGAAGGUGCGGCUGGAACACCUCCUUUCU
rnacentral:rRNA from 1 species